rnacentral:tRNA from 1 species
CGGGCUGUAGUAUAAUGGUAGUAUGCACCCUUGGGGUGGGUGUGACCCGGGUCCGAUUCCCGGCAGCCCGA